AGGUAGGACUACCCGCUGAACUUAAGCAUAUAAU
rnacentral:rRNA from 1 species